GACGUAGGAGGCGAGCGUUGUCCGGAUUUACUGGGCGUAAAGCGUGCGCAGGCGGUUCGUUGUGUCGGUGGUGAAAGCCCCGGGCUUAACCUGGGAAUGGCCAUGGAAACUGGGAGACUUGAGUGUGGCAGAGGGGGGUGGAAUUCCACGUGUAGCAGUGAAAUGCGUAGAUAUGUGGAGGAACACCGAUGGCGAAGGCAGCCCCCUGGGUUAACACUGACGCUCAUGCACGAAAGCGUGGGGAGCAAACAGG
rnacentral:rRNA from 1 species